AGUGAACGCUGGCGGUAGGCCUAACACAUGCCAGUCGAACGGCAGCACAGUAAGAGCUUGCUCUUACGGGUGGCGAGUGGCGGACGGGUGAGGAAUACAUCGAAUCUACUUUUUCGUGGGGGAUAACGUAGGGAAACUUACGCUAAUACCGCAUACGACCUACGGGUGAAAGCAGGGGAUCUUCGGACCUUGCGCGAUUGAAUGAGCCGAUGUCGGAUUAGCUAGUUGGCGGGGUAAAGGCCCACCAAGGCGACGAUCCGUAGCUGGUCUGAGAGGAUGAUCAGCCACACUGAACUGAGACACGGUCCAGACUCCUACGGGAGGCAGCAGUGGGGAAUAUUGGACAAUGGGCGCAAGCCUGAUCCAGCCAUACCGCGUGGGUGAAGAAGGCCUUCGGGUUGUAAAGACCUUUUGUUGGGAAAGAAAAGCAGCAGGUUAAUACCCCGCUGUUCUGACGGUACCCAAAGAAUAAGCACCGGCUAACUUCGUG
rnacentral:rRNA from 1 species